UAGUUAUAUGCUUGUCUCAAUGAUUAAGCCAUGCACGUGCAAGUAUAAGCGUUUAUACGGUGAAACUGCGAAUGGCUCAUUAUAUCAGUUAUAACUUACUUGAUCGUUCAUUGUCAGUAGCAGCAAUGCUUCUGGCAGUUACACGGAUAACUCUGGUAAUUCUAGAGCUAAUACAUGCAGCCCGAAAGGGACAAGCAUCCAGCUUUUGUUGGGUGCUGCAUUUAUUAGAUAACGAUUGCCAAACCAACCUUUCGCAAGAAAGGGCACUGGUGAAUCAUAAUAACUGAGCUGAUCGUAUGGCCAAGAGCCGACGACGGAUCAUUCAGAUUUCUGCCCUAUCAACUUUCGGUGGUAGAAUAGAGGUCUACCAUGGUUAUCACGGGUAACGGAGAAUCAGGGUUCGAUUCCGGAGAGGGCGCCUGAGAAAUGGCGACCACAUCCAAGGAAGGCAGCAGGCGCGCAAAUUACCCAAUCCUGACACAGGGAGGUAGAGACAAGAAAUAACAAUGCAGGGCCCAAUGGGUCGUUGCAAUUGGAAUGAGAAGGGAGUAGACAACCUAUUCGAGUAACAAUU
rnacentral:rRNA from 1 species